UGGACUGUUAAAUUGGAAUGGGGAGGGAAGGGAAGCAGUGGAAUAUUUAUCUAUUCCUGUGAGGAUGAGCAGGUAGAUUUAGGAAAUGUUUUUUUUUUCAUCUUGAAACUGACAGGAAGAGGUGCAAAGUAAGAAUCGAAAUCUGAUGAAGCCUGUUAGAUUGAGAGCGGGGCUGAAAGGGACUGUGAAAGGACACGAAGGAGAGAGG